AUGGGAGUGGGAGAUGCUUCUGAUAAUCUGAUGCCAAAAAGAAAUGAAGAAAAUAAUGAUGUCUUUGUACAUACGGCCAUAAACCCCAAUGAUAGAGCGAGCAUGAACACUGAACAGGGAAAGCAAACAGUGCUCCGGCCUCCGGAUCCAGUCAGAAAACAAUCAAGGUAUCACGUUCCCAAAUCCUACCUCACCUGGUCAUUAUCAGUCCCUUUAAUCUUCUGGAUCAGGAGCAAGGUGUACUCCUCCCUGCCUUUUUAUUUGCCCUUAUCCUACUCCCCUUUUUUGAAAGGGGUUUUUGUUUUGGAAUUGGAAUUCUUAUCCGAAUAA
rnacentral:rRNA from 1 species